rnacentral:rRNA from 1 species
GACGAACGCUGGCGGCGUGCUUAACACAUGCAAGUCGAGCGGUAAGGCCCUUUCGGGGGUACGACGAGCGGCGAACGGGUGAGUAACACGUGGGUGACCUGCCUCAGCUCUGGGAUAAGCCUGGGAAACCGGGUCUAAUACCGGAUAUGACUCCAUGACGCAUGUUGUGGGGUGGAAAGCCUUGUGCGGCUGAGGAUGGGCCCGCGGCCUAUCAGCUUGUUGGUGGGGGAUGGCCUACCAAGGCGACGACGGGUAGCCGGCCUGAGAGGGCGGACCGGCCACACUGGGACUGAGACACGGCCCAGACUCCUACGGGAGGCAGCAGUGGGAAUCUUGCGCAAUGGGCGAAAGCCUGACGCAGCGACGCCGCGUGAGGGAUGACGGCCUGGUUGUAAC